rnacentral:rRNA from 1 species
GACGAACGCUGGCGGCGGGCUUAACACAUGCAAGUCGAACGGAAAGGCCCUGCUUUUGUGGGGUGCUCGAGUGGCGAACGGGUGAGUAACACGUGAGUAACCUGCCCUUGACUUUGGGAUAACUUCAGGAAACUGGGGCUAAUACCGUAUAGGAGCUCCUGCUGCAUGGUGGGGGUUGGAAAGUUUCGGCGGUUGGGGAUGGACGCGCGGGUUAUCAGCUUGCUGGUUGGGUAGUUGCUUACCAAGGCUUUGGCGGGUAGCCGGCCUGAGAGGGUGAACGGCGACAAGAGGACUGCGAGACGGAGCAGACUGCAACGGGAGGCAGUAGGGGGGAGUCUUGCACAAUGAGAGCGAGUGUGAGGAGGAAACGCUGCGGGCGGGAUGACGGCUUGCGGGUUGAGAAAAGCAUUAGCCUGUGACGAAGCGUGAGUGACGGUAAUGAAUAAAGAAGCACCGGCUAACUACGUG